rnacentral:rRNA from 1 species
GACGAACGCUGGCGGCGUGCUUAACACAUGCAAGUCGAACGGAAAGGCCCUGCUUUUGUGGGGUGCUCGAGUGGCGAACGGGUGAGUAACACGUGAGUAACCUGCCCUUGACUUUGGGAUAACUUCAGGAAACUGGGGCUAAUACCGGAUAGGAGCUCCUGCUGCAUGGUGGGGGUUGGAAAGUUUCGGCGGUUGGGGAUGGACUCGCGGCUUAUCAGCUUGUUGGUGGGGUAGUGGCUUACCAAGGCUUUGACGGGUAGCCGGCCUGAGAGGGUGACCGGCCACAUUGGGACUGAGAUACGGCCCAGACUCCUACGGGAGGCAGCAGUGGGGAAUAUUGCACAAUGGGCGGAAGCCUGAUGCAGCAACGCCGCAUGCGGGAUGACGGCCUUCGGGUUGUAAACCGCUUUCGCCUGUGACGAAGCGUGAGUGACGGUAAUGGGUAAAGAAACACCGGCUAACUACGU